rnacentral:lncRNA from 7 species
GAGAACUUAGAAGGGAUUGUUCUCCUGACUUUGUUUUUGCAAAUGUGCUUAGCAGAAUCUGGUUGGAAUUACAUGCCUCUAAAACUAGCUCUAAACAUCACCCCACAAAUUUCUUUCACCUGUUGUGAAGAUGCAAGUGAAUAUAUCUCCUCCUCUAUUUUUAUUCAGUAAUGUUCUCGGGGAACACAAUUUUCCUAAAUAGCUAAGGAAUCGUACAUCUUUUGCUCUUCAGAGAGGAUGUAUCAAGAACAUAUGAGAUUUAGCAGGGUGAAGGACUGGAACACAAGGAAAAGCAGCUCCAUAUUGGUGAUGAUAACGAUAAACCAUUAUGGCUGAUGAGCUCAGUGUGGAACUGGAGCGAAAGGACCUGGCUGCUCAUCAGACUGAAGUGUGGAGGAUGAAUUUGUAGGACCUUGGUGAAGCUGGGACAGACCAAAUCCCUCAGAUCUGCUUAGACACACUGAAGAUGAAUAUCUCCUUUGAGAAUAAGAUACAGGAUACAUGUUUUGGAACAUCUCCCUUCAUUAAAGAUUACAUUAUGUUUUUGUUAUCAGACUUUCUUGGUGCUGGCAAAAUAAAAUGUAUUUAAUC